GCCUGGCAUGGUGGCACUUGCCUGUAGUCCCAGCUACAGGAGGCUGAAGUGGGAGGAUCACUAGAGCCCAGGAGUUCUGGUCUGUAGUGCGCUAUGCCUAUUGGAUGUUCCAGCUAAGUUCAGUAUCAAUAUGGUGACCUCCUGGAAGCGGGGUACCACCAGGUUGCCUAAUGAGGGGUGAACCAGCCCAGGUCUGAAACGAAGCAGGUCACAUCUCCGGUGCUGAUCAGUAGUAGGAUCGGGCCUGUGAAUAGCCACUGCAUUCCAGCCUGGGAAACAUGUAGCAAGACCCCAUCUCU
rnacentral:SRP_RNA from 1 species